GCGGGUGUGGCGGAACUGGCAGACGCGCAGGACUUAGGAUCCUGUGGGCAUAGCCCGUGAGGGUUCAACUCCCUCCACCCGCACCA
rnacentral:tRNA from 1 species